CGGGUGAGUAAUGCUUGGGAAUAUGCCUUGAGGUGGGGGACAACAGUUGGAAACGACUGCUAAUACCGCAUAAUGUCUACGGACCAAAGGAGGGGAUCUUCGGACCUUUCGCCUUUAGAUUAGCCCAAGUGAGAUUAGCUAGAUGGUGGGGUAAUGGCCUACCAUGGCGACGAUCUCUAGCUGGUUUGAGAGGAUGAUCAGCCACACUGGGACUGAGACACGGCCCAG
rnacentral:rRNA from 1 species